GGUUGGAUUGAAGCAACAGCAAGUGUGCAGCUAGACACACACAAGGCAGUGUGCAGAUGUGGAGACAGAUUUGGCACCUUUGUCUGCCUGGGGACCUACGGGUGAAGCUCAGGUUCUGGAGCUGCUACUGGCGUCAGGUCCUGUCCCUUGUGGGCCUGGACCUCUGAGGGCUGUGCUUGAGUUUGAUGGAACUUGGCCCGUGUGGAAAAUGGCAACUGGCCAGGAUAGACGAGAAAAACCAUUAUCACAUGAAUACAACAACGUGAAGUAGUCAGUAAAAGCCAGUUCAGCCACUUGUUUUCACAAGAUGGCCUACAGUUAUGUGUUAUUUAAAGGAUGUAUGUUCUCUCCUAGUACUUAAAAACUGUAUUCAAAGUAAGAGUUCUUGUCCAUUUGAUCCUGUGAUAUACUUGAUUGUGUAGGAUGCAUUUGCUUGUAGUCAUUAAUAUUUUGGAGUGUAAGGCUGUAUAUAUGUACAUUUUAUAAGCAAUAAAGAAAUGUGUCUUUAGGGCCUAAGAGUCUGGACAGGAGCACACGCGCCGUUUACUACCAGUGAUCCUAUCGCUGCACAUCUACAGUCAUUCAUGUCCCACACACACAUUUUUCCUUUCAAGCUUGUAUUCACUUUACUGUAAACACUUCCGCAUUUUGAGGUCUCAUAUAUCAUCUCGCCGACACAUUUGUUUUUGCCAUUUAUCUACAUUGAUCGCAAAUGUUUCACAGAAACAUACUUUAAAAUGAGCGGUAGCUACAUCAUGUUAUAUUCUUAUCUGCCUAACCCACUUAUCUAUGACAAGACUAGCCAACGCCUCCACUGUUUGCACAGCCACAGUAUAAAGGGUUUCUUCUGUCGCACCCUAAAACAAAAUAAGUUCUCCUGAGGUUAAAUCCAACCACUCUUCAAUUAGUUUUACUAAAGUGCUCAGACUUCGAAGGUGUAACAACCUGUCGCGGGAAGUGUAGUGGUGGUAGCAAUGCAAUGCAAACUGAAGUCUUCAUGACCCUACAGACAACUACAUUUACAUUCGCCUUUCUACCGUCAUCGCGUGAGUUACGGCAAGAAGUCAGGUGUAACACCAGCGACAAGUGGUCUAAUCAUGUGAACUCCAUGCACUUGUCUGUGUUCCAACCUGGUCAUCCAUUUCAAAUAUGCGGAGCAGACCACUGUUUUAAAGGUCAGCGUAAUAACAACACGACAAACCCCGCGGUAUUCAUCUACCCAAUUAACC
rnacentral:lncRNA from 1 species